CUUGACUUAAAAAAUCAAACAAUAAAUUAACUGAUAACACUUUGGUCUGGAAAUGGGCUAAGGACCAUAAAAUCAUUACAAGGACUCAGUUUGGCGAAAAAUUGUGGUUUGGCGAUAACAGAAUUAUUUUCUGAUUGCAGUAGUUGUAACGUUGUGUGUAUUUGUGACAUCGAUUUUAUUUUAGCUUAGUGAUAAAGUUAAUCGUACACACGUAAAUUUUUUGGCUUUAGACAAAUAUUGAAUACUAAUAAUAGAUGCCAUAAACAUUUUUAAUAUUAAGUUUGUGAUCUUACGACAAUGGUUUAUAUUUACCUUCAGGCAAUUUUUAGAGCAAACGAUUAGGUAGCGUCUCUAAUCGGGACAAAUAAAGGUGAAAUGAAGUAAUGCUUGCUUCCGGGAAGUGUCACGGAUACGAGAAAGUAAAUUUCUUUGAUUAAUUGUUCUAGGGUGAAUGUUAUACAUAAAAAUUUCUGUUUAUUUAAAUACAAAUUAAAACGUUUUGUUUCUUUA